rnacentral:misc_RNA from 1 species
CGCAUCUUGCGCUCCUUGGUAUUCCACGGAGCAUGCCUGUUUGAGUGUCACGUAAACCCUCACCCCUGCGAUGUCAAAGUCGCCUGUGGUGGAUUUGGACCGUGCCGUAAUUGGCUCGUCCUGAAAUGCAUUAGCUAGUGCUUUUUAGAGUGCUCGGCAUGGUGUGAUAAUUAUCUGCGCCGUCGCCUUAUGCCUCUUCUUUGUGCGCUGCUUCCAAUCGUCCCCAGCGGACAACAUAUUUUAAGCUUUGGCCUCAAAUCAGGUAGGACUACCCGCUGAACUUAA